rnacentral:sRNA from 1 species
UGGUGAUGAUCAGCCUCAAGUUGAAUUUUGUAUGUAAAUUCAUGCUUUGAAAGGUCAUAUAUGUAACUCGAAUGUGGUGUAAUUUUUUUUUGUUUUUUUGUGUGUGUGUGUGUGUGUGUGUGGCCGAAGUUAGGAAGAGGGAGAGGGAAUUUCUUUCACACACACAUUGCCAA